AGACCAGUGACGCAGUGGUUAGCGUUCCGUUCUUAUAUGCUUCUCAGGAAUUUCCCGGAAGGGGAAGGACUGAACUCAUAUGACUCAAAUCCUUACGUGAUGCGGGGGUCGUGGGUUCGAAUCCCACUUGGUCUA